rnacentral:sRNA from 1 species
CUCGAAGAACAGGCGCAUGCUUUUCCUCCUUGGAAAUCGGCGGCGGCCGGCGCCGCCGCCUUCGUCGUCAGGCCCUGGCGGGUACCGCCGGGAAGUCCUUGCGGCCGACCCCGUACCAGUCCAGGCGGCGGGUCAGCACCAUCACCGCGGCAAGCACCGCGAACAGCAGCAGCGAGCCCAU